rnacentral:lncRNA from 1 species
CAUCCAUAGGAAGAUCAAAUUCCUAGCUUACAUUUGCAUGAUGAGUUCAACAAGUAUUUGUUAUUAGAGAAAAGUAACACAGUUAGUGGUAUAGUAGGGAAGCAAACGAAUGUUAACACCAACACCAAUUGAAAGUCCUCAACAAGUAGAGAUGCACACAUGUUUCAAUCAUUUGAGAUACCCUUUUGUAGAAGUAUUUGGAACUCAAUUUGGAAGAUAACUAUUAAUAAUUUCAUUUGUAAAGAUACGAUUUGUAAAAAAGUAUAUACAAAGUGGUUUUGCUGGUAUUAAAUAAAUAAAUAAAAAUACGUUGUCAUGUCUUAUUUUUUCCCAAAUGGUAUUUUGUAUAUUUGAAAUUAAAAAUAAUUUGCAUAUUUUAAAACCAAAUUAUUUUUUUUUCAACUAUACAAAUAUUUUAACCUAACAUUUUCUUCCCACCAAAA